rnacentral:rRNA from 1 species
UACGGAGGGGGCGAGCGUUAUUCGGAUUUACUGGGCGUAAAGGGCGCGCAGGCGGCUCGUUUUGUCAGGCGUGAAAGCCCCGGGCUUAACCUGGGAACUGCGUUUGAUACGGACGGGCUAGAGUUCGGGAGAGGAGAGUGGAAUUCCCAGUGUAGAGGUGAAAUUCGUAGAUAUUGGGAAGAACACCGGUGGCGAAGGCGGCUCUCUGGACCGAGACUGACGCUGAGGCGCGAAAGCGUGGGGAGCAAACAGG